rnacentral:tRNA from 1 species
AGGGAUAUAACUCAGUUGGUAGAGUGCUUGCCUCACAUGCACAAGGCCCUGGGUUCAAUCCCCAGCACCACAA